rnacentral:rRNA from 1 species
ACUAAGCGUACACGGUGGAUGCCCUGGCAGUCAGAGGCGAUGAAGGACGUGCUAAUCUGCGAAAAGCGUCGGUAAGGUGAUAUGAACCGUUAUAACCGGCGAUGUCCGAAUGGGGAAACCCAGUGCAAUUCGUUGCACUAUCGUUAACUGAAUACAUAGGUUAACGAGGCGAACCGGGGGAACUGAAACAUCUAAGUACCCCGAGGAAAAGAAAUCAACCGAGAUUCCCCCAGUAGCGGCGAGCGAACGGGGAGCAGCCCAGAGUCUGAAUCAGCUUGUGUGUUAGUGGAACGGUCUGGAAAGUCCGACGGUACAGGGUGAUAGUCCCGUACACCAAAAUGCACAGGUUGUGAACUCGAAGAGUAGGGCGGGACACGUGGUAUCCUGUCUGAAUAUGGGGGGACCAUCCUCCAAGGCUAAAUACUCCUGACUGACCGAUAGUGAACCAGUACCGUGAGGGAAAGGCGAAAAGAACCCCGGCGAGGGGAGUGAAAAAGAACCUGAAACCGUGUACGUACAAGCAGUGGGAGCACCUUCGGGUGUGACUGCGUACCUUUUGUAUAAUGGGUCAGCGACUUAUAUUCUGUAGCAAGGUUAACCGUAUAGGGGAGCCGCAGGGAAACCGAGUCUUAACUGGGCGUUAAGUUGCAGGGUAUAGACCCGAAACCCGGUGAUCUAGCCAUGGGCAGGUUGAAGGUUGGGUAACACUAACUGGAGGACCGAACCGACUAAUGUUGAAAAAUUAGCGGAUGACUUGUGGCUGGGGGUGAAAGGCCAAUCAAACCGGGAGAUAGCUGGUUCUCCCCGAAAGCUAUUUAGGUAGCGCCUCGUGAACUCAUCUUCGGGGGUAGAGCACUGUUUCGGCUAGGGGGUCAUCCCGACUUACCAACCCGAUGCAAACUACGAAUACCGAAGAAUGUUAUCACGGGAGACACACGGCGGGUGCUAACGUCCGUCGUGAAGAGGGAAACAACCCAGACCGCCAGCUAAGGUCCCAAAGUCAUGGUUAAGUGGGAAACGAUGUGGGAAGGCACAGACAGCCAGGAUGUUGGCUUAGAAGCAGCCAUCAUUUAAAGAAAGCGUAAUAGCUCACUGGUCGAGUCGGCCUGCGCGGAAGAUGUAACGGGGCUAAACCAUGCACCGAAGCUGCGGCAGCGACACUAUGUGUUGUUGGGUAGGGGAGCGUUCUGUAAGCCUGCGAAGGUGUGCUGUGAGGCAUGCUGGAGGUAUCAGAAGUGCGAAUGCUGACAUAAGUAACGAUAAAGCGGGUGAAAAGCCCGCUCGCCGGAAGACCAAGGGUUCCUGUCCAACGUUAAUCGGGGCAGGGUGAGUCGACCCCUAAGGCGAGGCCGAAAGGCGUAGUCGAUGGGAAACAGGUUAAUAUUCCUGUACUUGGUGUUACUGCGAAGGGGGGACGGAGAAGGCUAUGUUAGCCGGGCGACGGUUGUCCCGGUUUAAGCAUGUAGGCUGGUUAUCCAGGCAAAUCCGGAUAAUCAAGGCUGAGGUGUGAUGACGAGGCACUACGGUGCUGAAGUAACAAAUGCCCUGCUUCCAGGAAAAGCCUCUAAGCAUCAGGUAACAUCAAAUCGUACCCCAAACCGACACAGGUGGUCAGGUAGAGAAUACCAAGGCGCUUGAGAGAACUCGGGUGAAGGAACUAGGCAAAAUGGUGCCGUAACUUCGGGAGAAGGCACGCUGGUGUGUAGGUGAAGUCCCUGCGGAUGGAGCUGAGACCAGUCGAAGAUACCAGCUGGCUGCAACUGUUUAUUAAAAACACAGCACUGUGCAAACACGAAAGUGGACGUAUACGGUGUGACGCCUGCCCGGUGCCGGAAGGUUAAUUGAUGGGGUUAUCCGUAAGGAGAAGCUCUUGAUCGAAGCCCCGGUAAACGGCGGCCGUAACUAUAACGGUCCUAAGGUAGCGAAAUUCCUUGUCGGGUAAGUUCCGACCUGCACGAAUGGCGUAAUGAUGGCCAGGCUGUCUCCACCCGAGACUCAGUGAAAUUGAACUCGCUGUGAAGAUGCAGUGUACCCGCGGCAAGACGGAAAGACCCCGUGAACCUUUACUAUAGCUUGACACUGAACAUUGAGCCUUGAUGUGUAGGAUAGGUGGGAGGCUUUGAAGCGUGGACGCCAGUCUGCGUGGAGCCAACCUUGAAAUACCACCCUUUAAUGUUUGAUGUUCUAACGUUGGCCCCUGACCGGGGUUGCGGACAGUGUCUGGUGGGUAGUUUGACUGGGGCGGUCUCCUCCCAAAGCGUAACGGAGGAGCACGAAGGUUAGCUAAUCCUGGUCGGACAUCAGGAGGUUAGUGCAAUGGCAUAAGCUAGCUUGACUGCGAGCGUGACGGCGCGAGCAGGUGCGAAAGCAGGUCAUAGUGAUCCGGUGGUUCUGAAUGGAAGGGCCAUCGCUCAACGGAUAAAAGGUACUCCGGGGAUAACAGGCUGAUACCGCCCAAGAGUUCAUAUCGACGGCGGUGUUUGGCACCUCGAUGUCGGCUCAUCACAUCCUGGGGCUGAAGUAGGUCCCAAGGGUAUGGCUGUUCGCCAUUUAAAGUGGUACGCGAGCUGGGUUUAGAACGUCGUGAGACAGUUCGGUCCCUAUCUGCCGUGGGCGCUGGAGAAUUGAGGGGGGCUGCUCCUAGUACGAGAGGACCGGAGUGGACGCAUCACUGGUGUUCGGGUUGUCAUGCCAAUGGCACUGCCCGGUAGCUAAAUGCGGAAGAGAUAAGUGCUGAAAGCAUCUAAGCACGAAACUUGCCCCGAGAUGAGUUCUCCCUGAGACUUUAAGUCUCCUGAAGGAACGUUAAAGACGAUGACGUUGAUAGGCCGGGUGUGUAAGCGCAGCGAUGCGUUGAGCUAACCGGUACUAAUGAACCGUGAGGCUUAACC